UACGUAGGGCGCAAGCGUUGUCCGGAAUUAUUGGGCGUAAAGAGCUCGUAGGUGGCCUGUUGCGUCUGCCGUGAAAGCCCGUGGCUUAACUGCGGGUCUGCGGUGGAUACGGGCAGGCUAGAGGCUGGUAGGGGCAAGCGGAAUUCCUGGUGUAGCGGUGAAAUGCGCAGAUAUCAGGAGGAACACCGGUGGCGAAGGCGGCUUGCUGGGCCAGUUCUGACGCUGAGGAGCGAAAGCGUGGGGAGCGAACAGG
rnacentral:rRNA from 2 species